rnacentral:rRNA from 1 species
AUUGAACGCUGGCGGAAUGCUUUACACAUGCAAGUCGAACGGCAGCAUAGGUGCUUGCACCUGAUGGCGAGUGGCGAACGGGUGAGUAAUACAUCGGAACGUGCCCAGUCGUGGGGGAUAACGUAGCGAAAGUUACGCUAAUACCGCAUACGAUCUACGGAUGAAAGCGGGGGACCGUAAGACCUCGCGCGAUUAGAGCGGCCGAUGCCUGAUUAGCUAGUUGGUGGGGUAAAAGCCCACCAAGGCGACGAUCAGUAGCUGGUCUGAGAGGACGAUCAGCCACACUGGGACUGAGACACGGCCCAGACUCCUACGGGAGGCAGCAGUGGGGAAUUUUGGACAAUGGGGGCAACCCUGAUCCAGCAAUGCCGCGUGAGUGAAGAAGGCCUUCGGGUUGUAAAGCUCUUUUGUCAGGGAAGAAACACCGGCUCUAACACAGUCCGGGAAUGACGGUACCUGAAGAAUAAGCACCGGCUAACUUCGUG